rnacentral:lncRNA from 1 species
ACGUCCCUCGGAUUGUUGAGGCCGCACUACACGUGCCUGCCUGAACUGUAAUCAAGCAAAUAUCGCCUUGGUUCAAACGACCUCAUCGGUUAUGCCGGUGCACGUUACCUACGGAAUCUGAUAGUGAACAUCACGAAGGUGCAACGCGAGCUACGUGCGUGAGACGCCUUUGUUUUCGGCGUACAGGUGACGAACGGACGUGCGGACAAACGAAUCGGCCGGCCAUAUACACCUAAAAAGUAGACAUCGGCGACGGUGUAUAUGUUGAAAAGGGCCUGCUGAAGAGGCUGCGCCUGGAUGCUAACUCAGGCUUUGAGU